rnacentral:rRNA from 1 species
UACGUAGGUGGCAAGCGUUGUCCGGAAUUAUUGGGCGUAAAGCGCGCGCAGGCGGUCCUUUAAGUCUGAUGUGAAAGCCCACGGCUCAACCGUGGAGGGUCAUUGGAAACUGGGGGACUUGAGUACAGAAGAGAAGAGUGGAAUUCCACGUGUAGCGGUGAAAUGCGUAGAGAUGUGGAGGAACACCAGUGGCGAAGGCGACUCUUUGGUCGUGAUAACUGACGCUGGAGGCGCGAAAGCGUGGGGAGCAAAC